GCUCUUUGAAGUACAUGAGAUCAACGUAGAAUUUAAGCGGAUCACAACCCUGCCCCUGCAGUCUAGGUUUCCUUCACAGCUAGAUUUGCUGACAAACUCCUGAAGCUGUUCGAAAAGAGAGGAGGGCAGAUAGGCAAGAAUCUACGGAGCAUUUCGUCACAAAUGAGUCAAGCUGGGAAUGCAUUCUUAAGGGGCUUUGUGUUUACCUCAGCGAUGACCCAGCAAAUCUCAUGUG